GUGUAUAUGUGAUCUACCCAAACUACUUCUCAUUGGAGCUGUAUUAUACAUAGGUAAAACAUAACACUUUUACCCAGUCAGAGCAGCCAAGGAACAGCACAGAGUGCCCAACAAGUUGUUUUGCUGUAUUGCACUAUUAUCAGACAUUGAAAAGUCUUUCAGUAUUCUGAGAAAUAUCUGUUAACACUUGAUAACAGAAAACAGAAGCAUAAUUAAGGACUGAGAAUUCUCAGGGGGAAUUAAUUAUGAAUUUACAGGAGCACCUGUAUUUCUGGGAAACCCAAUCUGGCUCUACUGAUUUCAAUUUGGAAGUGGCAACAGAGGAAAAAGUGUGUUCACAUUGAAGGUGCCAGGAGGAGAAAGAGGAAGAAUGGCAGAAUGAAGUCCAAAUCAACCACAGAAAGGAAACAACUUCAGCAGAUGGUUUUCAUCACUGCAUCAGUACAAGCACUGUGACCAGAAGAGAGACCUAAAGAGCUGCUCAUUAAUCAGACACUGCUUCUGGGGACAGCAGGAAAACAGAAGAAAAAGGAGGCCCUUACACUUAGUGUUCCUCAGUCCAAUCUCAAGACUAAACAACUUGCACAGACUUACAAGGGGAGGCCAGUGUUACAAGUGUUAGCAGUGCACGUGCUCACAGUGUUUCAAGAAUAAAAAACUAACACAACAGAAAAAUAAGACUCA
rnacentral:lncRNA from 1 species